CCUUCUGUAUAUACUGUAUAUACUGUAUAUACCCUGUCUCAGAGUCUUAUAAAUCUAGCAAGAAAUUUCAGUGCAGCCAUCUCUCCCAGGGUGACAGGCACGAGGAAUGAAGAAGUUCGUAGAAUAGCACGCAGAGCUUUACGCAGGGAACUUGUGUUAACCCCCUACCCCGCCCUUGUGGAAUUUCAAGGUGGCCUGGCUGAAUGUGUUAGCGCGUUAGCGAAUGGCGCUCAUCAUAACCUGCUAGCCGGUUCUCCAUUGGGUUUAUUCGGAAAUUACUUUUUAAAUUGAUAAAUUAACAAAGACUAUGUGUAGAGAGCCGGAUGAAAAGCUAGAUUUCUCGCCUUUGCUGAAACGGGUUUGAUUCCUGCUCGAGACAUUGCAAAUAUCUCCCUGUUUGUCGGCCCUGGAUAUGACUUGUUGGAUGUGCGUGAAACCACUAGAAGCUUGUGUUCCUUAGCCCUAAUAAAAUGGGUAUUCUUAAUUAUUAUAAGGAUUUUUUUAACGUAAAGCGCUUUUAUUAUAACAUACUCCUUUUCACUAAUAAAUUUGUUUUGUAUUGACAAUAUCUAUGGAACAGUGAUCUAUGUGUUUACACAUCUCUGUCCCAACUAUGUCUCUCAACUAUGACACUUUGUCACAUUUUCAUGUCUGCAAGUCUCACAUCGGAUAUAUCAGCACCACCCAAUUGCAUAUACAGACCGAUAAAUCCUCUCUUACUACCUUCACAAUGCUAAUACUGCAAUCAAGAAGGUUCACUUUUGUAAAUAUGCGAUAAAUUUGCUGUAAGGAAGAGCUUUUGCCGAUUGCGUGCGCUGCUAUAACGACAUCUCGGGACAUGUCCUAAAAGCAAUGCAAGGGAAGUGCACCUUACGUGUCACAAAAAAGACUUAGUGUCUGAAAGUCUCGGACAUUUCUCGAUCGAACGCUUGACACCAUGCGUGAGGCGUAGCGUCACCACGUUUAACAGAUAUGUCUCCUCUGUUGUGCAACAGCCUGUUUCCAGCGAGCAUGUUUCUGAUCAAGUGUUCUCAUGCUAAAGCUGGAUGUGCGACGACUUCUUUCAUUCAGACUCUGCUGCACCUGCAUUAAGACCACCACAUUAUUAUAACAUUAUUAUAUCAAAUAACAGAACUCUCCUGUUACUUUAACUAUGAAGAGUCUUAUGAAUAGGUAUACAGCAGAACCCUACUAUAAAACUCAAGCUAUGAAGGGAGAAAAAAAUCAGUUCUAUUUGGUAGAGGUUAAGAGAGAAAGGUUUUUUGCUGCUUCUAGAGUUUCCUAUAAAUCACAAAGCAUUGUUGCUUAUAUUAUGUAAUGAUGGAGCUCUUUAAAUAACAACCAUUUUCAAAGUAAGGCUUUGAUGAGCAUUAGUUUAAAGCUGUCUUACGUAGGUAUUACAAAGAUGGUACUCUUUGUAUCACUUACACAGGAAGGGGGAAGAACUACCAUUAUCAAACAAAAUCACUCACUCAUUCGUUAAUCCAUUCAAUAAACCACCAUCAAAAAUCA